rnacentral:lncRNA from 1 species
ACACUAGGGGUUUCUUGGGGAUACGCAGAUGACAAAGACAGUGUCUCUUCAUCCAGGAGCUAAUCAAGAGAAGGGGGAAGAAUCAAGCAAACUUCAUAAUACACAGCCGGAUGAAAUGAAAAGAGACUUAGAUCAAGUGCUGUGAGAGCUUGGAAGAGGCACGGGGCAAAUAACACUGGGGCUGGUGGUGGGAAGGCAAGUGACAGCCUCGUGGAAGAGGUGGCAUUUGACCAGAGAUGAGGACGAACAGAAUUAACAUAGUAGGCAUGAAGGAAGAAAAUGCGCCUGAGGACACAGCCAGCACAAAUGCAGAGGCAUACAAGUGCCUGGUACAGCUGGCAUGCAGGGAUGGCUGAGGAACUGCGGGGGCAGCCGGUGGGAUCCAUCCGAGGUAAAGGUUAGAGGCAAGUCUCGGAGAUGGAAACCCAAGGUCAUGCAGUUGUGCCAAUGCCCGUUGUUAGACAACAUGCUUCUAUUCCUGACAAACCAGUCUCAAGCAGCUCUGACUGAUGGGGCGGAUUUCAAUGCUCUCCAAUGACUUCCAAGUGUUAAGAAAAAGCUGCUGCUACCCUACAUGCCCAAGCUAUACGAACUACUUUUUUCCAGGCAAACAGGAUUCCUGCAGACAAUGCUCGGAUGAUGAAAUCUGAGAGGCUGGAUGACAGAGAAACCCACAUGCAUACACACACACUUUAUAAAGCUUAGGAACAAAAGCACUUUAUAAUCUCCUUCUGAUGCCAAGUUUACAGUGCUUCCAGAGUCAACAAAGGUGACUCAGGAGAGUGCACCCAGCUCCUUUCAGCACUUAUUUAGCUCAGCCACCUGUGUGAGCUCAAAGACAAGGGUGCCGACUUCACCUGAGUAGACCCUGAGUCACGUGAUUUCUUGCUGGAGAUGAUUCAGCAAAGGAGCACUAACCUCUGAGACAAGGCUUCAGCUUCCUGAGCUCUGCUGACUCGCCUGGGACUUCCCUAAGCCCUUCUGGACCUAGAUGAGGGCAAAACUCAGUGGAACCUCAGAAGCCCUAAAAAAAUGAUAGACUUUCUUUUGUCUCAUCAUUAUCAGCAUUUUGGGAUGAUUUAGUCAGCCUAAGAAACCUGAUGGCAUGUUGACACCAGAAAACAGGUAGUAUAUAUUCCCAAACCAAGUUAAAAAAAAUUAAGAAAUAACAGCUGGAAUGCCUUUUAUUUUUUCUUUACACAAAUGUGUGUGUCAUCGUCAUAUGCCUUUUUUGUGUUAAUUUCUGAGGAUCCUGCCAGUGUGAAUACUCCAUUCUCUGCGAGUCGCAGGUCAGGCUGCUUUUGAGGCAAGCACACGUUAAGUAUUGAGCAGAAACAUUUGAAGCAAAGAUGAGAAAGACAGAAGGGGAAGCAAGAAAAAUAGUCUUCCCAGUGUGCCUAUUUGGGUGCAUAUAAAGUUACUUUUAGAUGUGCGAUUACUGGUUAAUGAUUUGGGGAAUUCUUUUCAAGUAGAAAUCCUGGGCUAAAAACUAAGUGUGCUCAAGCUACCCCCGCACCCACUGAUUCUGCACUCCAUGGGAAAAGUUCUCACAAGCAAGUCCUUUGUCCACUACCCACGUCUAUAGGAAAUGUUUGAACAGCUAUACACAAAGAACUCACAAGUCCACAACCUCGGGGGUGUUGCGGGUGGAGAGGGCAGUGGUAAAGGUGAUGACAGGGAGGGCCUGUGGGGACAGUAAUAUUAGAUUAGUGGUCAGAAGAUGCUGGAGCCUGCCUUGCCAGUCACACACUUUUAGAGGAAUGCUGGACAGUACACACCCUCCCCAACCCUGAAUGUAGGCCCUCGCUGACAUCACGCCAGAUGAAGCCCUGAGGUCUUUAACAUCUGUAACUCUAUGGCAUGUAACAUAAACAGGUGUCUGACCAGUUUCCCCAGAUAUAGAAUAAUAAUAAUACCUUUCAUUUAAAAAGGUAAGAGGGAAUUCAACAAGCUUUCCUUCUUAAAUAAAUCUCCAUCUCAGGAAGCCAUGGAAAGAUGCCCCUCCCACACUAAGACUGUAGAGAGAGGCACUGUGAAGGUCUGGCUUGGAGAUCUCAGCUCUUCCUGCCUCUCAGGGGGAAAGGGCAGAUCCAGCAGGCCGGGAAAGGAUCUCCCAGGGUCCCAAGGAGGCAGCAUGGGGCAAAGUCCAACAGUGAGGAUUCUCUCCUUCUCUGGUCUCUUUUCUGUUAAAAAUGCUUCUUUGGGGUACCCUUCAUUACUACCCUGGAGGUUGAAGGACACUUCUUGAGAAGGCAUAGAUACUCUUCAGGUAUGCUGAAGAAAUGAGUUGUGCUAAAACCACUGGUUAAUUUUGUCUGUGGCAAAAAAUCAUGAGGGUGACAUAGACUCCCAGGCCAGGAACCCGAGACUGGAUUUAAGAGAUGUGGCCAGGAUCCACAGGGGAGCUUGUAUGUGGCUCACAUCAUUAGCUCUUUCUGUAUAUUUGUAUUGUAAACCAUUUCCCUUCAUUUGUGAAGAUGGAGAUCACUUUUUCUAUACAGGCUAGAAAUGUUUCUUCAUACACACACGCUGAGCUUGUUUAUAAAAGAUAUUCAUUUAUAUGGUGGUUUUAACAACUUUUCCAUGUGGAAAUUUUAGACGACAGUAACACAGACCCUCAUGUACUCAUCACUCAGCCUUGAUGGUUACUGACACAUGCCCAAUAUUGUUUCAUCUGUUUCUCCCCACAACUCCUGGAUUAAUUUGAAAGAAAUCCUAGAAGUCACUUAAUCAGCAAAUACUCCAGUCUGUUGGUCCACUCCUUAUACAAUAGCCAGGGUGAUCUUUUACACAUGAAGUAGUGAUUGCAUCACUCAUGCUUGCUUGGAAUUCUUCAAAGACUUACGUUGGCACUUCAGAUAAAGUGUAGACUCCUUCGCGUGACCUAGGAUGUCCUUUGGGCUCUCACUGUUCCCUCAGCCUCCUCACCUGAAGCUCUCACUGCCCCACCCCUUUGCUCAUCACACUCCAACCCGCCUGCCAUUGAGCUACUCAAAUGGACUGCUCCUUUCUCAAGACCUCUGCACACUUUCAAGCCUCAUUUCUCUUCAGCCUUUAUUAAAUGUCAUCUCCUCCAGAUGGCCUCCUUUGGUGGCCCAGGUCAUGUUAGAUCUGCCUGUUAAAUAAAUGCUUUCAAAGAA